UCAGGAACAUAACUUUUGUACUAUUACAAGUAAAAUAAGUUCUAAGGGUGAGAAAUAAUGGUACAACAAAAAAUUGUUAAAACGUUUCCAUUAAUGAUUCGGCUCUAUUAUCAACACUUGUUCUAAAAAUUCUCUAGAGACAAGAUGAUGGUAAGUAAUGUCCUUCGAUGCAAAAUUUCUGCACUAUGUUUUUGUCCUCUGAUUUGAGAUUAAGGUAAGCUGACUCAUGUUGCGGUGGUGUAAUCAAUUUCUUUAUUUUUUUUGUUUUUCAGGCUCCUAUGUAGUUGUCGCUGUGAAAUAUGCCCUCAAAAUGUUUUAUUGUCUUAAGUUAGGUGAUAAGUAUCAUACAUAUUUUAUAGAUUUCACUGCUUUGAAGAGAAAGUUUGAAGAAGCAGAAUUAAAUUCUAAAGUGAAACUAAAUAGAUUCUCAACUAUUUGAUAUGUAAUGGGGUGCCCAUUAAAAUUAAAAAGAGCUUAAGUGUUCUAGGACACUCAGAUGUCUGCUAGAAGUGUUCACCCAUAGAUAUAGAGCCAAAGAGCUAUUUAAACCUGCUCCUUUUUGUGGGCAUGCUCCACUAUUGAAUAUAAGUUUCUAGCUCCACCUGGUCCUUAUAAGAGUUGUUUAGUGCCCCUAAUAAGAGAGUCACAGGAGGUUGUAUGUCAUGGCUAUCAGUUUAAAAAGGAGUACUUCAUGUAAACAUUCUUGAUAACAUUGAUGGCACAACAUGUCACCCACAUAGAUGCUUUUCAUAGUUUUAUUUAUCAUUCUAAGUAAUGAUACAAGUACGUGAUCUAAAUUUAGUUAUUAUAUUAUUGUGAAACUAGUCUAAAUAUUCCCUACCCUCUUUAUUAGAGUUUUUUGUCUAGUGGACACCACUAGAAUUUGAUUUUGUGUCAAGCACAUUCAAUAUGUAGUUUUAGGUAGCUGGACACUGCAAAAGACAUCGGUUUGUCUACUACACAUUGGCUCCAUUUAAAAAAUAAUUUUCUAGGCAGAAGGGUGGAUAGUGUAGCCUAGGAAGACUAAAAUGCCUCUUCACAUACACCACCUGAGCCACAUUUCCAAAUUAUUCAUGACACCCGCAACGCAUCUCGCCGCCGCCUCUGUGAUUUUUGUCAGCUUGCCAUAUCUCCAACGAUUCUUCACCGACCAUCACCAAUCACAUAGGCCAUACCUCCUGCGACUGAUGCAACAUAGCUCCCACAAGCUCUCCCCAUCCUCGAG
rnacentral:lncRNA from 1 species